GAAAUGCGUUAAGAAGUGUGAAUUGCAGAAUUCAGUGAAUCAUCGAAUCUUUGAACGCACAUUGCGCCCCUUGGUAUUCCAUGGGGCAUGCCUGUUCGAGCGUCAUUUGUACCCUCAAGCUCUGCUUGGUGUUGGGUGUUUGUCCCGUCUCCGCGCGUGGACUCGCCCCAAAGUGAUUGGCAGCCGGCGUACUGGUCCCGGAGCGCAGCACAUGUCGCGCAAACGAGUGCCUUGGUACGGCGGCGUCCAUAAGCCCCUCUCUCACGCUCUUGACCUCGGAUCAGGUAGGGAUACCCGCUGAACUUAAGC
rnacentral:misc_RNA from 1 species